GAUGAACGCUGGCGGCGUGCCUAAUACAUGCAAGUCGAGCGAACAGACGAGGAGCUUGCUCCUCUGACGUUAGCGGCGGACGGGUGAGUAACACGUGGAUAACCUACCUAUAAGACUGGGAUAACUUCGGGAAACCGGAGCUAAUACCGGAUAAUAUAUUGAACCGCAUGGUUCAAUAGUGAAAGACGGUUUUGCUGUCACUUAUAGAUGGAUCCGCGCCGCAUUAGCUAGUUGGUAAGGUAACGGCUUACCAAGGCAACGAUGCGUAGCCGACCUGAGAGGGUGAUCCGCCCCACUGGAACUGAGACACGGUCCAGAAUCCUACGGGAGGCAGCAGUAGGGAAUCUUCCGCAAUGGGCGAAAGCCUGACGGAGCAACGCCGCGUGAGUGAUGAAGGUCUUCGGAUCGUAAAACUCUGUUAUUAGGGAAGAACAAAUGUGUAAGUAACUAUGCACGUCUUGACGGUACCUAAUCAGAAAGCCACGGCUAACUACGUG
rnacentral:rRNA from 1 species